UACAGAGGGGGCAAGCGUUGUUCGGAAUUACUGGGCGUAAAGGGCGCGUAGGCGGCCUCUUAAGUCGAACGUGAAAUCCCCGGGCUCAACCCGGGAACUGCGUCCGAUACUGGGGGGCUUGAAUCCGGGAGAGGGAUGUGGAAUUCCAGGUGUAGCGGUGAAAUGCGCAGAUAUCGUCCAGAACACCGAUAGCGAAGGCAGCUUACUAAGGAGUAACUGACGCUGAGGCACGAAAGUGUGGGGAUCAAACAGG
rnacentral:rRNA from 1 species